rnacentral:rRNA from 1 species
GACAGAGGGUGCGAACGUUGUUCGGAAUUACUGGGCGUAAAGCGCAUGUAGGCGGCAGCGCAAGUCGGGCGUGAAAUCCCACGGCUCAACCGUGGAAGUGCACUCGAAACUGCGCAGCUAGAGUCCUGGAGAGGAAGGUGGAAUGCUUGGUGUAGAGGUGAAAUUCGUAGAUAUCAAGCGGAACACCGGUGGCGAAGGCGGCCUUCUGGACCAGCACUGACGCUGAGGCACGAAAGCGUGGGGAGCAAACAGG